UCCCUUGUGGCUCAGCUGGUAAAGAAUCCACCUGCAAUGUGGGAGACCUGGGUUCAAUCCCUGGCUUGGGAA
rfam:Ovis aries breed Texel chromosome 15, whole genome shotgun sequence.